UGAGGAAUAUUGGUCAAUGGGCGGAAGCCUGAACCAGCCAAGUAGCGUGCAGGAAGACGGCCCUAUGGGUUGUAAACUGCUUUUAUACGAGAAUAAUUUGAUGCACGUGUGCGUUAUUGCAUGUAUCGUAUGAAUAAGGACCGGCUAGUUCCGUGCCAGCAGCCGCGGUAAUACGGAAGGUCCAGGCGUUAUCCGGAUUUAUUGGGUUUAAAGGGAGUGUAGGCGGUUUGUUAAGCGUGUUGUGAAAUUUAGGUGCUCAACAUUUAACUUGCAGCGCGAACUGUCAGACUUGAGUACACGCAACGUAUGCGGAAUUCAUGGUGUAGCGGUGAAAUGCUUAGAUAUCAUGAAGAACUCCGAUUGCGAAGGCAGCAUACGGGAGUGUAACUGACGCUUAAGCUCGAAGGUGCGGGUAUCGAACAGGAUUAGAUACCCUGGUAGUCCGCACAGUAAACGAUGGAUGCCCGCUGUUAGCGCCUGGCGUUAGCGGCUAAGCGAAAGCAUUAAGCAUCCCACCUGGGGAGUACGCCGGCAACGGUG
rnacentral:rRNA from 1 species